UACGUAGGUGGCAAGCGUUGUCCGGAUUUAUUGGGUUUAAAGGGUGCGUAGGCGGCCCUGUAAGUCAGUGCUGAAAUAUCCCGGCUUAACCGGGAGGGUGGCAUUGAUACUGCGGGGCUAGAGUACAGAUGAGGUAGGCGGAAUUGACGGUGUAGCGGUGAAAUGCUUAGAUAUCGUCAAGAACACCGAUAGUGUAGACAGCUUACUAGACUUCAACUGACGCUGAGGCACGAAAGUGUGGGGAUCAAACAGG
rnacentral:rRNA from 1 species